rnacentral:rRNA from 1 species
AGUCGAACGGUGAAGGAGAGCUUGCUCUCCGGAUCAGUGGCGAACGGGUGAGUAACACGUGAGCAAUCUGCCCCUGACUCUGGGAUAAGCGCUGGAAACGGCGUCUAAUACCGGAUACGAGCUGCGAAGGCAUCUUCAGCAGCUGGAAAGAACUUCGGUCAGGGAUGAGCUCGCGGCCUAUCAGCUAGUUGGUGAGGUAAUGGCUCACCAAGGCGUCGACGGGUAGCCGGCCUGAGAGGGUGACCGGCCACACUGGGACUGAGACACGGCCCAGACUCCUACGGGAGGCAGCAGUGGGGAAUAUUGCACAAUGGGCGCAAGCCUGAUGCAGCAACGCCGCGUGAGGGACGACGGCCUUCGGGUUGUAAACCUCUUUUAGCAGGGAAGAAGCGAAAGUGACGGUACCUGCAGAAAAAGCGCCGGCUAACUACGUGCCAGCAGCCGCGGUAAUACGUAGGGCGCAAGCGUUAUCCGGAAUUAUUGGGCGUAAAGAGCUCGUAGGCGGUUUGUCGCGUCUGCUGUGAAAACCCGAGGCUCAACCUCGGGCCUGCAGUGGGUACGGGCAGACUAGAGUGCGGUUAGGGGAGAUUGGAAUUCCUGGUGUAGCGGUGGAAUGCGCAGAUAUCAGGAGGAACACCGAUGGCGAAGGCAGAUCUCUGGGCCGUAACUGACGCUGAGGAGCGAAAGGGUGGGGAGCAAACAGGCUUAGAUACCCUGGUAGUCCACCCCGUAAAACGUUGGG